GAGAAAUCCCCGGUGUUGCGACGACUCUCCCAAGACGACGGCGAGACAGGGGGGGAAAGGAAAGGAAGGGGAUCGCCAUGGCGGCGUCGCCGCAGCAGCAAGGCCAAGGCGCCCAGGGCGGCUCCGGCGGCGGCGGGUGGUCUCCCGAGCAAUUCUGGUCGCUGCUGGACAAGGCGGACCGCCGCUUCGCCCGGGUGCGCGACCUCCCCCUCCUCGGCCGCCAGGAGCCCGACGCGUUCGCCAAGGCCUUCCGCGCCUACACCCAGCUCUGGCGGAUGCAGCAGGAGCACCGCCACCGCCUCCUCGACGCCGGCCUCCGCCGCUGGCAGGUCGGCGAGAUCGCCGCCCGCAUCGCCCACCUCUACUACGCCCAGUACCAGCGGACCGCCGACACCGCGCUCCUCUCCGAGGCGUUCGUCUUCUACCACGCCGUCCUCGACCGCGCGUACUUCGUCGACGCCGACCACCACCUCACCCCGGCCAAGCACCUCCGCUUCCUUGCCAGGUUCCUCCUUGUCGCUCUCCUCCUCGCCAGGCGCGCCCACACCGUCCCUCGCCUUGCCGCAGACAUCCGUGCGCUCCUCGAGGACUCCAAAAAGUCAUUCCAGGAAGCUGAAUACAAGGAGUGGAAGCAUGUCGCGCAAGAGAUCUUUAGGUUCCUGCGAGCUGACUCGCCAUUUAUGAACAUGAGGCCGCUCAGGUACAGCUACGCAUUCGAUAUGCCUCCGGACAAGCUUCCUACGGUGCCGCCUACUGUCAAGAAGCGAGGCCUUGUCUUAAGUGAUGCCAUACUAUGCAGCUACUACCCAAACGAGGUCAAAUUUACAGACCUCUCCAUAGAUGUAUUCAGAAUGCUUCAAUGCCUCGAAUGGGAACCAUGUGGUUCAUUUGCGCUAAACAAUGGUUACAGUGCCCACGAUGAAAGUGGACAAAAUCAACCCAAUCUCCUGAAGGAUCUGAGAGAUGCCGCACUUCCUCCAAAUCCACUUAAGACGAUUCUCAAUCGCCCUUCGGUGACACAUUUCCUAACGGUCCUGGCCACAAAAUGCGAGGAGCUUCUGUCGAAUGGUAUCAUGUUAAUAUAUCUUUCAGCUGCAGGUGAGAUGGGAACUUCUGGAUGUUGUCCUGAUAGUGGCGAAAAGGUUGCGAGCAACUUUAGUAAAUUUGAUAUAUCCAGUACUAGUCAUACCAGUUCAAAGGAAGACAAAGAACCUUGCCUAUGGUUAGGCUGCCGGGAAACUGAGGGUUCAAAUUGCAUAUACCCCGGUGAUCUAAUCCCAUUUACAAGAAGACCCCUAUUUUUGGUGAUUGACAGUUGCAUCAGCUAUGCAUUCAAGGCAGUCUAUUCAUGGCAUUGAAAGGGAGGAGACAGCUGCCAUGUUACUUUCACCAAGUUCCCGAUCUUCUGCUGCGGGAUUCAGUGGUGAUUCUACUCGUCACACUGGUAGUCAGUUUAGUAUGUUCCUGACAGCUCCAUUGCAAGCCUUUUGCCUUCUGAUCGGCAAUAGUGGGACAGAAAUCAACAGGGAUUCAUAUAACAAAGCUGAGGAGUUAUUAUCAUUAUCCCUAAAUGAAUGGGCCACCACUUUAGUUGCAUCAUCUUCACUUCAUCCUGUUUGGGUUGAAGUUUUAGGCGAUCCACUCCUGAGACGGCUGCUUUUGAGGUUUAUCUUCUGCCGAGCAACCCUUUCCCUGUUCAAACCAACAAGCGGCAAGGCAGAAUUCCUCCCUACCUGCAUGCCUCCUCUGCCCGAGUUGGUUGAUGCAGAGAGCAUGCUCUCCCAAAGUUGCAUGAUGCGGCUCGCAUCAUACUUCGGCGCUACUAGCCAGUUCGCAUUUGCUGAGAUUACCACAUGGCCUGAUGCUGACGCUGAGGAGGCUGGUGUCACCAGCUCAUCUGGAAGUGCCAACAAAGAUGUGCCUGAGACGGCCAGAGAUUCAGACAUUUCACACUCGGCAACAUCAUUUUGAUGGAUGAUUAGGCAUCGGUGCUAGUUGAUCUGUAGCUAAUUGUUGCUGUGUUGGGCGUGCUCUUCUUCUGCUUGCUUUAUGUUACAGUCAUCUGCAGAAGCGGAUCCAUUUGCCCUUUCAUGCUUGGUAUUACACAUCAAGCAGAAGUAGUACUGGCUUUUUUUUACUGUAUUGUUUAGUCACUGGAAGAUUAUGUUUCUUACUCAGUUUGGAAACGUGGAGGGGCUUGAGAAGAUUGGAGGUUUGCAUUGCUGAAAAAGUCAAUUGUUUCACAGGUAUACAAGACAUUUCAUAUGUAAUGUUGUGCCUGUAUGCACAUGGGAACAUAAGCCAUUAAGCCAAAGCUGUGCUUGACUGAUUGCCAGCAUUGUCCGCUCCCACGCUUGCCUGGAAGCUGAAGCUCGGUUUCGGACAGGCGCUCUGCGCAAAUCCCCUGGGCCCGGCAAACGGACAGUCAUGGCAAUCUGCGUGCACCACCAUGUCCGGUCUUCAUCAAGCAAGGGUAAUUGAGCAAAUCUUUCAGUUAAGCAUGAUGGAUGAAAAAAAGACCGCUAGAUACUUUUUUUUGUUUGCCAAUUACCUGUAGCUGGUGUUCUGGCGCCUUAGAUGUUAGCCUACCUCACGUCCUGAGGGAUGUAAAGGAGCUGAUAAUGAAGACACUUUCUAGACUACAAACUAGAUUAGUGCAAA